UACGUAGGGUGCGAGCGUUGUCCGGAAUUAUUGGGCGUAAAGAGCUCGUAGGUGUUUGUCGCGUUGUCCGUGAAAACUCACAACUCAAUUGUGGGCGUGCGGGCGAUACGGGCAGACUGGAGUACUGCAGGGGAGACUGGAAUUCCUGGUGUAGCGGUGGAAUGCGCAGAUAUCAGGAGGAACACCGGUGGCGAAGGCGGUCUCUGGCAGUGAACUGACGCUGGAGGAGCGAAAGCGUGGGGAGCGAACAGGA
rnacentral:rRNA from 1 species